rnacentral:rRNA from 1 species
GGGUGCGAUCAUACCAGCGCUAACGCAUCGGAUCCCAUCAGAACUCCGUAAUUAAGCGCGCUUGGGCUAGAGUAGUACUGGGAUGGGUGACCUCUCGGGAAGUCCUAGUGUUGCACCCUCC